UGGGGAAUUUUGGACAAUGGGGGAAACCCUGAUCCAGCCAUCCCGCGUGUGCGAUGAAGGCCUUCGGGUUGUAAAGCACUUUUGUCAGGAAAGAAACGUCAUGGGUUAAUACCCCGUGAAACUGACGGUACCUGCAGAAUAAGCACCGGCUAACUACGUGCCAGCAGCCGCGGUAAUACGUAGGGUGCAAGCGUUAAUCGGAAUUACUGGGCGUAAAGCGGGCGCAGGCGGUUCGGAAAGAAAGAUGUGAAAUCCCAGAGCUCAACUUUGGAACUGCAUUUUUAACUACCGGGCUAGAGUGUGUCAGAGGGAGGUGGAAUUCCGCGUGUAACAGUGAAAUGCGUAGAUAUGCGGAGGAACACCGAUGGCGAGGGCAGCCUCCUGGGAUAACACUGACGCUCAUGAACGAAAGCGUGGGGGGCAAACAGG
rnacentral:rRNA from 1 species